AUACGUAGGGGGCGAGCGUUGUCCGGAAUGAUUGGGCGUAAAGGGCGCGUAGGCGGCCCGGUAAGUCUGGAGAGAAAGUCCUGUUUUUAAGAUGGGAAUUGCUUUGGAUACUGUCGGGCUUGAGUGCAGGAGAGGUAAGUGGAAUUCCCAGUGUAGCGGUGAAAUGCGUAGAGAUUGGGAGGAACACCAGUGGCGAAGGCGACUUACUGGACUGUAACUGACGCUGAGGCGCGAAAGUGUGGGGAGCAAACAGGAUUAGAUACCCUGGUAGUCCACACUGUAAACGAUGAAUACUAGGUGUGGGGGGACUGACCCCCUCCGUGCCGCAGUUAACACAAUAAGUAUUCCACCUGGGGAGUACGAUCGCAAGAUUGAAACUCAAAGGAAUUGACGGGG
rnacentral:rRNA from 1 species